rnacentral:rRNA from 1 species
UACGUAGGGGGCAAGCGUUGUCCGGAUUUAUUGGGCGUAAAGGGCAUGCAGGCGGUCGGACGCGUUUCGGGUGACAGCGGGUGGCUUAACUACCCGAGUGGUCGAAAGACGGUUUGACUUGAGGACGCGAGAGGGACACGGAAUUCCGGGUGGAGUGGUGAAAUGCGUAGAGAUCCGGAGGAACACCGAAGGCGAAGGCAGUGUCCUGGCGCGUAACUGACGCUGAGGUGCGAAAGCCAGGGGAGCGAACGGG